CUUCCACCUCCAUCCCCCCGAGACAGCAAGAACAACCUCUCUUCUUCUUCCUCUUCUCAACGUGAAGAUGACAAGGAUGAAGACUUUUAUGAUGAUCCACUUCCACUCAAUGAAUAGUAUCUUGGAACCAAGGAAUAGAAGUAAGUAUAUCUUGGCCGGACGCGGUGGCUCAAGCCUGUAAUCCCAGCACUUUGGAGGCCGACGCGGGUGGAUCACGAGGUCAAGAGAUCAAGACCAUCCUGGUCAACAUGGUGAAACCUUGUCUCUACUAAAAAUACAAAAAAUGAGCUGGGCGUGGUGGCGCAUGCCUGUAAUCCCAGCUACUCAGGAGGCUGAGGCAGGAGAAUUGCCUGAACCCAGGAGGCGGAGGUUGCGGUGAGCCAAGAUCGCGCCAUUGCACUCCAGCCUGGGUAACAAGAGUGAAACUCCAUCUCAAAAAAAAAAAAAAAAAAAAAGAAGUAAGUAUAUCUAAUGACCAAUUUGAAAUGUUUGAUUCUAGUCUUUUGACUCUGGCUGCUAUUGGCUAGAAUCUUAAGUACUCAAGGGAUGAAUGUGUCUUCCAGGAAACAAAACAAUCGUUCUACUGAAUUGGAAACUAUAAUAUGACCAUUUUGAUCACCUUAUGCCAUUGGAAUGGAAGGUUUUGGUGUUGGUUGAGGUGACUGAUUCUGAAAGUGGGCUUCUCUUGUGACAUUGGGGGCAUAUUCUGAGGUAUUUUCUUCUAUUCCAGCCGGAGGUGACAUUGAAUGGGGAGGGCUACUGCAAUUCUAUAGAGACAGGACCCCCAAAGGACCUAUAUCCCUCAGAAAUAAAGAUUUGGGUGACCUUACUAGGAAAAGAACUCUCAGCAGUAAAGGGGCUAUGAAAGAGCAAAUAAAAUUGUAGCUGUGGCCU
rnacentral:lncRNA from 1 species